GAUCAUCAUAGAAAGUUUGUUUUUGCAAAAUGUCCCUGAAGAAUAGAGUAGGAAAGGGAAGCAUCUAGCCUUUCUCAGAGGCACCAGAGCAAAAAGGCCAACGAAACUGCCAAGGAACAUAAACCCUAUCAUCCAUCCGAGGAUGAUUUUAUUUGAGGAGCCUUCACCGGAGACUGUUUCAAUCAAAAUGGCAACAGGCCAACGGUGCAUGUUAUCCACAGUGGAUUAUGCAAAUUGGGGCUUCUUUUGCUUCAAGUUGGUGGCACACUGCAGUUUGAUCAAGAACAGUAGGCAAUGCUGGUCAUCUCAAAAUUGGAAGACGAGCCAAGUCCAUCAUGCAAGCAGAUUUUGCUAUGGUACUUAGCAGACAACUGUACCAACUAUGCAGCUUUUCAUCCGCACAGAAGACCUCCACUUCUACCAUAAAUCAUUUUGAAGUAUCCGAUCAAUUACAUAUUUUAACUUUAUUUCAGAAGUUACAUUUCUAGAAGACUGCAAAUUUCUAAGGUUCCCAUGUAUAUAUGCAAAGAGAAAAGGGUUCAUGAUGGGUUCCUUAAA